rnacentral:misc_RNA from 1 species
AAUUGUUGUAUUAAGUUUGCUCUUUCUACUUGUAUUGUAUUUCUAUUUAAAAGGUGAAAAAAAAACAGAGCUUUUAGAGAGCCUGUUUCAGAGAAAAAGAUCUUGCUAUAGUUGGUCACUUUAGCGAAGAAUCGAAAACGUUUUUCUUGAAGAUCUGACUGUUACCUGGCUCGAGUGCACCUGGGCACACCUUCCAAGUUCCGGCGGGUUCGGAACCCAUGCCCUUCACCUACCAUUGGUCUAAAAGUUUGGCCCGAUGCCCUUAGAUGAAGACAAGUCAGUCUAGUAGUACUAGAUAAUAACCUAAAGUCGACCACGUGCCUAUUCUACCUUAGGUUAUUAGGACGGAAAGUGUGUUUACAAAAUUAGCCGUUUGCUUCGUGUGGGGCUAUUUAUUUGGUUUAAAGCAAUAAGGACCUUCUAGUACAGUUUAGUGUCCGCGAGUGGAACCACAAUCUGAUAUGAGAUUAUCGGAUAUAUUUGGGCUUACAUAUUUCGACGUGAUUUAACGAACUUUUUUAAUUAGCCCGAGUUAGCAUUUAGUUGCAUGCUUCCAAUUUCUGAGUUGAUCUGUAGUAGCUGUAACAUGUUUCUGUCAGAAGAUCAGAUUUCAGUGACCGCAACACGUGUUUCGGGUGAUUCUUUUGACUCCGGUUCAAGACGAACAACUCACGCAAGGUCUGAUAUUGAAGCUGGUUUAACGGAAGAUCUAGAGCAAAUCAUACCAGAAUUGGAACAAUUGCCUGUGGAUGAGAUAAUUGAAAUUCCUGGGCUACAAAUCGCGGUUCCCGAUGGAUUUUCCACUGCUUCUGAUGUUCUUUUGGAUGCCACCGAUGAUAACUUUGAUCUCGCCCAAUACUUGUUUAGCGAGGGGACACCCGUUGCUGGCGACCAAAGUUGCGUAGCUAAUAGAAUAGAAGAAGCUCCUAGCAGAGAACCUUUGAAUGAUGGGAGCGAAAUGCAGGUCGAUGACUUUAAAAUUGUGCAACCGAAAAAACACAAACGGAAAAGGAAAAAAAUGAGGACUGAUGAACAGAAAACACCUUUCAAUGCAAAUAUGAGAUUGGCAGCGCCAGUCAAAUCGCUCGAUUUGAAAGCUCGUAAAUAUGUUGUACAAAUGAAUGACCAAUCCAAAAACCGAGACGACGAAGAUGAGCCGGAUGUUGAUGUGGAAACAGUAUUUGAAGGGGAGCAUUCUGCUGCGACUUUGCUGGCCCUCCAGAUUUCUAAUGACCUUCGUCAUAAGGACGGUACUGAGUCGGAAAAACGUCCUGAGCGAACAACGAAUGCUGAUAAAGUUUCACCAGAUCUCCGUUUAGAGUUAAGUAGUAAUAAGAGAAGAAAAGUGCUGACCAAAAGUAAACCUAAAGGGAUGAAGAUGAAGAGACUGGUGCAGUCAACAAACCUGACGAGAACCGCUGGCUAUCUGAGAGGAAUGCUGGACGCAUUAGUGGUGAAAAUUAGGUUACCCCACUGAUAGCCUCUUUGCCAUUAAAAUCGAGAAAAUCACCGCAUCAAUCAGUUUUCCAAAAUUUGUUUUCCCCGCUUAUAAACAUUGAGGGACUUAUAUGGACAGGAUAUGGCCCACUCCAGACUCCCCGCUUGAGAAUGACUUCUCACCGUCGCCUAGAAAAGCACUGACCAAUCUGGAAGAAGUCACGAAUAAUGUCGAAGACAGCACUUGGAGCAAGUUACCAGGGACAAGGAGAUUCUGGAUAAAAAGCUUCAUCUUAGCGUCACAACAAAAGCUAUAUGAACGCAGUACUAAUGAAUACUUACCCGAACGGGAUACGGACAAUGAAAAACACUACUAUAUGGAAACUUUCAGUUUUGGCGAGUUGGAUAGUAUCAUUCCUCCAGUUAUUCUGCUAACUGCCGGAGUCUUGGCUUCGAUGUCUCAAACUGAACUAGACAUGAGGACAAUGCAAGAAAAAAUCGAACCGUUGGAGAAAAAUUUCGAAAAGUUAAACGUAAGAAGUAGCUUGGAAUUUAGCGGCAGUCUGGAUCAGCUAGAGUCUGAACUCAGUUUAUCGACAAUAGAUAACACCACAGACUCCCAACACAAGCUGGACUAGUCGAAUACAACAUUCAGUGAACCAUCGGACAACAAUUGUCCUAAGCAAGAAUUCUGGACCGAAAAGACUACAGAGUUGGUUGGAAAAAAUAAAACCCAAUUUGCUAAGGUUU